AGAUUGAACGCUGGCGGCAGGCCUAACACAUGCAAGUCGAGCGGCAGCACGGGUGCUUGUACCUGGUGGCGAGCGGCGGACGGGUGAGUAAUGCCUAGGAAUCUGCCUGAUAGUGGGGGAUAACGUUCGGAAACGGACGCUAAUACCGCAUACGUCCUACGGGAGAAAGUGGGGGAUCUUCGGACCUCACGCUAUCAGAUGAGCCUAGGUCGGAUUAGCUAGUUGGUAGGUAAAGGCCUACCAAGGCUACGAUCCGUAACUGGUCUGAGGGGAUGAUCAGUCACACUGGAACUGAGACACGGUCCAGACUCCUACGGGAGGCAGCAGUGGGGAAUAUUGGACAAUGGGCGAAAGCCUGAUCCAGCCAUGCCGCGUGUGUGAAGAAGGUCUUCGGAUUGUAAAGCACUUUAAGUUGGAGAAGGCAUUAACCUAAUACGUUAGUGUUUUUGACGUUACCGACAGAAUAAGCACGGCUAACUCUGUGCCAGCAGCCGCGUAA
rnacentral:rRNA from 1 species